rnacentral:lncRNA from 1 species
ACUCUCCCACAGAGCUCAGGACCUGAGCACUAAGCUCAAAAGUCCCAGCUAGGGGAGCUCCCCGCUGGUGAAUAGCUUAGGCACCCAGGUGGGUGAACCUGAAUUGCAAAGCACUUCCUCUUGGAGUCCUCCCUAGCAUAACAAAAGAUUGGGUUGCCUGCACCAGUACAAGUUCGGAGUCCAGCUCACGCUCCAGUGACAAAUCGCCGAGCCUCUGCCAAAGCUGGGUGGGCUGCUUCAGCUUGUCUGAUCCCUAAAGUUUUCUGCCUUUCAAACGGUGCCUAAUAAGUUAUUUCUUGUUCGACAUAUUUAUUUAUUUAUUUGUGGUGUUGAAAAAAAAAAAGUGUACUUCCACUUUCUUUUUCUGUAUUUGCCUAACAGGGCUGCUCUUGGGAAUCCUGGGGGCGUGGCGGUGUGGGAGGGAGCUGGGAGCGAAGAAAAGUUCUCUCCUGGCCCCAAGAGCCCCUCAGAAGUUUCCCUCUCUUAGCCUUUUCUCAAUCCUUCUUGGUUUUGCUUGUGCCCAGUGAAGUUUGGAGAUUUUAAAAUAAUUUUUUUUAACUGUAGGUUUUUGUCUCGUUAAAAUAAAUGAAUGGCAAUGUGGGUUAACUUUUGUCGGUGCGGAGUGAAAGGCCUGAAAGCCUGGCAUCCCAGGAAACAUAGAACACGCCUCACCAUCUGUGAUGUGUGUGUGUAUGUGUGCUGCUAUGCACAAGUCACAUGUACAUCCUAUAUAGGUAUAUGUACACACAUGUAUAAGGAUAGAUUUGUUAAUCUUGACAUACUGUCACUAGUCCAUGAAACAGUUUUAAGGACACCCACAAAGUGACAAGUGUGACCUGAGCUGUAGUAUUCAAACUGAGAAAUGUCAGAGACUCCAGUCACUGCUGAAGACAUUGCUGCCUUUUUCUGUCGAGGAAUGGAAGUGAAACAAUUCUGCAUUUCCUGACUACUGUGGAUCCCUGAGCAGGGCGAGGACCCAGCUUUUCUCACCUUCACAUUUGCUGUCCAAUUGAGUAUGCUGCUUUGUAUAUAGGGGUCACUGAAAGGAUAUCUUGCUUGGUUGUUUAAGGAAGCCAGUGCAUAUCAGUGGAACAAUGAACCUGGGGUUCGCAAGUUCACACUGACCUGACAUACAAUGCUUGGAUGCACUAUUGAAAAAUAUGUUUUCUGUAUAUUUGCUUCAAGAUUUCUAAAAACAGUAACUCAGAGUUGAACUGUCUCAUAUGUUUUGUUUAAAUAAAUGAACAAAUAUGCUUUUGAUCAUAAGUGAAAAAGUUUAGAUCUUUUCCUAAGAAUAGUAUAUAUAUACUUUUCUGUUAAGUAGAUUUUUUAAUUGUUAAGAAGAGUGAACUUUAUAAACUGAAAUCUCCAUCAUUAUCAUCUCAACAGGAUAAAAAUGUAGUGUUCUUAACCUGUAAUCGUAACUGAAUAAACAGAUGUGUUACACUGUU